rnacentral:rRNA from 1 species
UGCAGUCGAGCGGCAGCGGAAGUAGCUUGCUACUUUGCCGGCGAGCGGCGGACGGGUGAGUAAUGUCUGGGAAACUGCCUGAUGGAGGGGGAUAACUACUGGAAACGGUGGCUAAUACCGCAUAACGUCGCAAGACCAAAGUGGGGGACCUUCGGGCCUCACGCCAUCGGAUGUGCCCAGAUGGGAUUAGCUAGUAGGUGGGGUAAUGGCUCACCUAGGCGACGAUCCCUAGCUGGUCUGAGAGGAUGACCAGCCACACUGGAACUGAGACACGGUCCAGACUCCUACGGGAGGCAGCAGUGGGGAAUAUUGCACAAUGGGCGCAAGCCUGAUGCAGCCAUGCCGCGUGUGUGAAGAAGGCCUUCGGGUUGUAAAGCACUUUCAGCGAGGAGGAAGGCAUCACACUUAAUACGUGUGGUGAUUGACGUUACUCGCAGAAGAAGCACCGGCUAACUCCGUGCCAGCAGCCGCGGUAAUACGGAGGGUGCAAGCGUUAAUCGGAAUUACUGGGCGUAAAGCGCACGCAGGCGGUUUGUUAAGUCAGAUGUGAAAUCCCCGCGCUUAACGUGGGAACUGCAUUUGAAACUGGCAAGCUAGAGUCUUGUAGAGGGGGGGUAGAAUUCCAGGUGUAGCGGUGAAAUGCGUAGAGAUCUGGAGGAAUACCGGUGGCGAAAGGCGGCCCCCUGGACAAAGACUGACGCUCAUGUGCGAAAGCGUGGGGAGCAAACAGGAUUAGAUAC